UACGGAGGGUGCAAGCGUUAUCCGGAUUCACUGGGUUUAAAGGGUGCGUAGGUGGGUUGGUAAGUCAGUGGUGAAAUCCCCGAGCUUAACUUGGGAACUGCCAUUGAUACUAUCAGUCUUGAAUACCGUGGAGGUCAGCGGAAUAUGUCAUGUAGCGGUGAAAUGCUUAGAUAUGACAUAGAACACCCAUUGCGAAGGCAGCUUACUACGGAUACAUUGACACUGAGGCACGAAAGCGUGGGGAUCAAACAGG
rnacentral:rRNA from 1 species